CUAACAAGGAUUCCCCUAGUAACGGCKAGUGAAGAGGGAAGAGCUCAAAUUUUGAAUCUGGCACCUUUGGUGUCCGAAUUGUAAUCUAGAGAAGUGUUUUCUGUGAUGGACCAUGCAUAAGUCUCCUGGGAUGGAGCGUCAUAGAGGGUGAGAAUCCCGUAUAUGGCAUGGACUCCCGUUGCUCUGUGAUACACUCUCGACGAGUCGAGUUGUUUGGGAAUGCAGCUCCAAAUGGGUGGUAAAUGCCAUCUAAAGCUAAAUAUUGGCGAGAGACCGAUAGCGAACAAGUACCGUGAGGGAAAGAUGAAAAGCACUUUGGAAAGAGAGUGAAACAGUACGUGAAAUUGUUGAAAGGGAAACGCUUGAAGUCAGUCACACCGUUCGGGAUUCAGCCUUGCUUCUGCUCGGYUUACUUCCUGUUGGGUGGGUCAACAUCAGUUUUGGUCAGAGGAGAAAUGCUUGGGGAAUGUGGCAGCAUUCGUGCUGUGUUAUAGCCCCUUGUUGUAUACUUUGACUGGGACUGAGGACCGCAGCACGCCUUUGGCCGGGGUUCGCCCACGUACGUGCUUAGGAUGUUGGCAUAAUGGUUUUAAGCGACCCGUCUUGAAA
rnacentral:rRNA from 1 species